rnacentral:rRNA from 1 species
GGAGUAUGUGGUUUAAUUCGAUGCAACGCGAAGAACCUUACCUGGUCUUGACAUCCCGAGAACGUCUUGGAAACAAGAAAGUGUCUUCAUUAGAAGAAGCUCGGUGACAGGUGCUGCAUGGCUGUCGUCAGCUCGUGUCGUGAGAUGUUGGGUUAAGUCCCGCAACGAGCGCAACCCACGUCUUUAGUUGCCAUCAUUAAGUUGGGCACUCUAGAGAGACUGCCCCGGUCAACGGGGAGGAAGGUGUGGAUGACGUCAAGUCCUCAUGGCCUUUAUGAUCAGGGCUACACACGUACUACAAUGGUCGGUACAAAGGGCAGCAAGCUCGCGAGAGUUAGCGAAUCCCAUAAAACCGAUCUCAGUCCGGAUCGGAGUCUGCAACUCGACUCCGUGAAGUUGGAAUCGCUAGUAAUCGUGGAUCAGCAUGCCACGGUGAAUACGUUCCCGGGCCUUGUACACACCGCCCGUCACACCACGGGAGUUGGUUGUACCAGAAGACGUUGAGCUAACCUUCGGGAAGCAGGCGUCCAAGGUAUGGCUGGUAACUGGGGUGAAGUCGUAACAAGGUA